GGGAUUGCCCUAGUAACGGCGAGUGAAGCGGCAACAGCUCAAAUUUGAAAUCUGGCGCAAGCCCGAGUUGUAAUUUGUAGAGGAUGCUUCUGGGUAGCGACCGGUCUAAGUUCCUUGGAACAGGACGUCAUAGAGGGUGAGAAUCCCGUAUGUGACCGGCCCGCACCCUUUACGUAGCUCCUUCGACGAGUCGAGUUGUUUGGGAAUGCAGCUCUAAAUGGGAGGUAAAUUUCUUCUAAAGCUAAAUACCGGCCAGAGACCGAUAGCGCACAAGUAGAGUGAUCGAAAGAUGAAAAGUACUUUGGAAAGAGAGUUAAAAAGCACGUGAAAUUGUUGAAAGGGAAGCGCCUGCAAUCAGACUUCGCGGCAGUGUUCCGCCGGCCUUCUGGCCGGUUCAUUCUCUGUCGCGAGGCCAUCAUCGUCUCGGCCCGCUGGAUAAGACCUUGGGAAUGUAGCUCACCUUCGGGGGAGUGUUAUAGCUUAUGGUGAUGCAGCGAGGCUGGGGCGAGGUCCGCGCUUCGGCAAGGAUGAUGGCGUAAUGGUUGUCGGCGGCCCGUCUUGAAACACGGACCAAGGAGUCUAACAUCUAUGCGAGUGUUCGGGUGUCAAACCCCUACGCGUAAUGAAAGUGAACGGAGGUGGGAACCGCAAGGUGCACCAUCGACCGAUCCUGAUGUCCUCGGAUGGAUUUGAGUAAGAGCAUAGCUGUUGGGACCCGAAAGAUGGUGAACUAUGCCUGAAUAGGGUGAAGCCAGAGGAAACUCUGGUGGAGGCUCGCAGCGGUUCUGACGUGCAAAUCGAUCGUCAAAUUUGGGUAUAGGGGCG
rnacentral:rRNA from 1 species